UUGUUGGUGAACAAACGCAACCAAAUCAGCGUGGAAAAGGUUUCCUAUAUUGACUCAUUUGCAAUGACAAAUUUAUGGAAUGGAAAGAGCCAGAGACUCAAGAUCAACCCGGUGGAAUACAAACUUAUUGUUGGCAUUGUCAAUGAGCAUAAGCAUUGGAAGCUGGCGGCAAUCAUGCCAGGAGAAAAAAGGUCCUUACUAGUUGAUCCUCUUGGUGAGUCUCAAAUGGACAUUAAAAAAUGCCUGGAAUCAACCCGGGCGUUCAUGCGCAAGAAAGGGUGCAAUGUUUCCAGGUGGACUUGUGGCACUGUCCCCCAUCCCAGGCAACAAGAUUCAACCUCUUGUGGUGCAUUUGC